GAUCCUGGUUCAGAUUGAACGCUGGCGGCAGGCCUAACACAUGCAAGUCGAACGGUAACAGGAAGCAGCUUGCUGCUUCGCUGACGAGUGGCGGACGGGUGAGUAAUGUCUGGGAAACUGCCUGAUGGAGGGGGGAUAACUACUGGAAACGGUAGCUAAUACCGCAUAACGUCGCAAGACCAAAGAGGGGGGACCUUCGGCCUCUUGCCAUCGGAUGUGCCCAGAUGGGAUUAGCUAGUAGGG
rnacentral:rRNA from 1 species